rnacentral:rRNA from 1 species
GUGGGGAAUCUUCCACAAUGGACGAAAGUCUGAUGGAGCAACGCCGCGUGAGUGAAGAAGGGUUUCGGCUCGUAAAGCUCUGUUGUCGGGGACGAAUGUGCAGUAUUUGAAUAAAGUACUGCAAUGACGGUACCUGACGAGGAAGCCACGGCUAACUACGUGCCAGCAGCCGCGGUAAUACGUAGGUGGCAAGCGUUGUCCGGAAUUAUUGGGCGUAAAGGGAGCGCAGGCGGGAAGGUAAGUCGGUCUUAAAAGUGCGGGGCUCAACCCCGUGAUGGGAUCGAAACUAUCUUUCUUGAGUGCAGGAGAGGAAAGUGGAAUUCCUAGUGUAGCGGUGAAAUGCGUAGAUAUUAGGAGGAACACCAGUGGCGAAGGCGACUUUCUGGACUGUAACUGACGCUGAGGCUCGAAAGCCAGGGGAGCGAACGGGAUUAGAAACCCUAGUAGUCC